rnacentral:lncRNA from 1 species
CGCUGGCCUCUGUCUCCGCCGCUGCUGGGCGCCGGCCUCCGUCUCCGCCGCCGCCGGGCGCCGCUCACCGCGCCGGCUUCCUCCCCCUUCGCCGCUUGCCGUGCCGGCAUCCGUCUCCACCGCUGCCAGGCGCGGGAGCGGUGGAUCCGCUGCCGCCGGCGCCUCUCGGGCCCGGAGGGGGCGUGCAGCGUAGCAUCCGGAGCAGCCACCGGUGACGUGGAUCGAGGUGGAAGAAGCACCGGCGAGGGAGAGCUCCGACGAGUCCUCCUCCUCCUCCUUCUCCGGCAGCAGGUCAGGGCGCAGAUCCCCUCCCAGCAGAGCGCCUGCUUCCUACAUCUCGCGAGCUCCGUCCAUCGAGAGGCUGCUCGAGGAGGACGCCGCACUGCUGCACGCGAGGGCGGAGGCGGGAUCUGCUACUGUGAGAGGGACUGGUGA